CAAGGGAAGGAUGAACUCAAAGAGAGGUGGCCAGACCACCUGAGACACCUGUUGAAGUGCGCUUUCCCAUUCCCAGACCUGGGAGCUUCUGAGACCAGGUGCAGAAACCAGAUUACACUCAUCUUUCUGACCUAAUUCACAGAGUGGAUAGCAGCCCCCACCUAAGCACAGCCCCCUCACUGGGCAAUAAGUCAGCAACAGCAAUGCUGGCCACACGGGAGGCCCUCAGGUGUCCUCACCCCACCCCUAGGUUUACUGACAGGUACCCUGCAGGGGAGAGGGUGGGGCCCUGAGCUGGACUCCACCCAACACUGCCACCUCCCCAGCCUGUGUCCUCCCUACCACCCGAGGAGCUGAAGGACCCAACAGCACACCCUCAGUGGUUUCUGAAAGGAAGCAAAGUUCUUUCUACCCUUUUUCACUUUGGGUGAAAACAUGUGGCUGGGUUGACAAGUCGGUUUUUUAGAAAGGAAGCACUGACUAGCGAAGGACUCGCCCAGCCAGAAGAGGGCUCUGCAAAGACAGCCCCAUCCCCAGGAUGGGAAUGCUGGAUUCAGACACCACAAACCAAGAGAACCCAGACUCUGGACGUGGAGCAGUACCAGGGUGAAAGACUUUUCCCACCGACAUGGUCACAUAGCCAUUCUCCUUGAAGUACUGGGGGAUGGUGGAGAAGUUUCCAGCGUGCACCCUCCAGUAGGAGUUGAAGUCGUACAGGCGGGUGGUGUCAGGUCUCCUGCCAGUGAGGAAAGAAACGCGGCUCGGGGCGCACACUGCUUGCUGUUAGGGAGCAGAAGCAGAGGGGGGACAUCUGCUGCUUCCCAAAUGCCACAUUUCUUCAAAUAAAAAGCAGAAGACAGCAUGCAGUA
rnacentral:lncRNA from 1 species